rnacentral:rRNA from 1 species
UACGUAGGGGGCAAGCGUUGUCCGGAUUUAUUGGGCGUAAAGGGUGCGUAGGCGGCGCGGUAAGUCGGGUGUGAAAUUUCGAGGCUUAACUUCGAAACUGCAUUCGAUACUGCCGUGCUUGAGGACUGGAGAGGAGACUGGAAUUUACGGUGUAGCGGUGAAAUGCGUAGAUAUCGAUAAGGAAGACCAGUGGCGAAGGCGGGUCUCUGGACAGUUCCUGACGCUGAGGCACGAAGGUCAGGGGAGCAAACGGG